UCCUCCAAGGCUAAAUACUCCUAACUGACCGAUAGUGAACCAGUACCGUGAGGGAAAGGCGAAAAGAACCCCUGUGAGGGGAGUGAAAUAGAACCUGAAACCGUAUACGUACAAGCAGUGGGAGCCCCAUCACUAAGUGCCUUUAGUGAUGUGACUCACAAAGUGCUAACCCUUGAUAUAGCGAUUAACGUUGACCUGCGAAGCAGCCAACGGUAAACCGCCAAAAUCAAGCAGGGUGCUUAGUGAUGGGGUGACUGCGUACCUUUUGUAUAAUGGGUCAGCGACUUAUAUUUAGUAGCAAGGUUAAGCGAAUAGCGGAGCCGUAGCGAAAGCGAGUGUUAACUGCGCGUUGAGUUGCUAGGUAUAGACCCGAAACCCGGUGAUCUAGCCAUGAGCAGGUUGAAGGUUGAGUAACAUCAACUGGAGGACCGAACCCACUGACGUUGAAAAGUCAGGGGAUGACUUGUGGCUGGGGGUGAAAGGCCAAUCAAACCGGGAGAUAGCUGGUUCUCCCCGAAAUCUAUUUAGGUAGAGCCUCGGACGAAUUCCAUUGGGGGUAGAGCACUGUUAAGGCUAGGGGGUCAUCCCGACUUACCAACCCUUUGCAAACUCCGAAUACCAAUGAGAACUAUCCGGGAGACACACGGCGGGUGCUAACGUCCGUCGUGGAGAGGGAAACAACCCAGACCGCCAGCUAAGGUCCCAAAAUAUUGCUAAGUGGGAAACGAUGUGGGAAGGCACAGACAGCUAGGAGGUUGGCUUAGAAGCAGCCACCCUUUAAAGAAAGCGUAAUAGCUCACUAGUCGAGUCGGCCUGCGCGGAAGAUGUAACGGGGCUAAGCAAUAUACCGAAGCUGCGGCAGCACAGUUUACUGUGCUGGGUAGGGGAGCGUUGUGUAAGUGGAUGAAGGUGAGUUGUAAAGCUUGCUGGACAUAUCACAAGUGCGAAUGCUGACAUGAGUAACGAUAAUGGGAGUGAAAAACUCCCACGCCGGAAGACCAAGGUUUCCUGUCCCAUGCUAAUCAGGGCAGGGUAAGUCGGCCCCUAAGGCGAGGCAGAAAUGCGUAGUCGAUGGGAAACGGAUUAAUAUUUCCGUACUUAUAUAAUCAGUGAUGGAGGGACGGAGAAGGCUAGGCAAGCUUGGCGUUGGUUGUCCAAGUGAAAGUGCGUAGACCGAGAACUUAGGUAAAUCCGGGUUCUUAAAGUCGAGACACGAGACGAGCCACCAAGGUGGUGAAGUUGUUGAUGCCCUGCUUCCAGGAAAAGCUUCUAAACUUAUGAUUAUAUGAACCGUACCCCAAACCGACACAGGUGGUCAGGUAGAGAAUACUAAGGCGCUUGAGAGAACUCGGGUGAAGGAACUCGGCAAAAUUGUACCGUAACUUCGGGAGAAGGUACGCCUCUGUGUGUGAAGACUUCGCGUCGUAAGCACAUGGAGGCCGCAGUGACCAGGUGGCUGGGACUGUUUAUUAAAAACACAGCACUCUGCAAACUCGUAAGAGGACGUAUAGGGUGUGACACCUGCCCGGUGCCGGAAGGUUAAUUGAUGGGGUUAGUUUUCGGACGAAGCUCUUGAUCGAAGCCCCGGUAAACGGCGGCCGUAACUAUAACGGUCCUAAGGUAGCGAAAUUCCUUGUCGGGUAAGUUCCGACCUGCACGAAUGGUGUAACCAUGGCCACGCUGUCUCCACCCGAGACUCAGUGAAAUUGAAAUCGCAGUGAAGAUGCUGUGUACCCGCACCUAGACGGAAAGACCCCGUGAACCUUUACUACAGCUUGGCACUGAACAUUGAACCUACAUGUGUAGGAUAGGUGGGAGGCUUUGAAGCAUUGUCGCUAGAUGAUGUGGAGCCGUCCUUGAAAUACCACCCUUGUAUGUUUGAUGUUCUAACAUAGUUCCCUUAUCGGGAAUGUGGACAGUGUCUGGUGGGUAGUUUGACUGGGGCGGUCUCCUCCCAAAUAGUAACGGAGGAGCACGAAGGUUAGCUAAUCACGGUCGGACAUCGUGAGGUUAGUGCAAUGGCAUAAGCUAGCUUAACUGCGAGACAGACACGUCGAGCAGGUACGAAAGUAGGUCAUAGUGAUCCGGUGGUUCUGUAUGGAAGGGCCAUCGCUCAACGGAUAAAAGGUACUCCGGGGAUAACAGGCUGAUACCGCCCAAGAGUUCAUAUCGACGGCGGUGUUUGGCACCUCGAUGUCGGCUCAUCACAUCCUGGGGCUGAAGU
rnacentral:rRNA from 1 species